rnacentral:rRNA from 1 species
UUUGUCUUUUUUUUUAUUUUUGUUUUUAUGUUAUUUUUGUAAAAUGUUUUAGUUUUUAUAUUUUUUAAAAAGACAUUUAAAAUUUGUUUUUUGAACUGGAUUAGUACCCAGGUAAUCAAAAUUAAUUAAUUCGGGAGUAAAGUUUUGUUUAAACCGAAAAAAUAUUGACUGACCUUGGAUUUUUCUUUGGAAUAUGCGUAUGGAGAGCCCUCUUUUUUGGA